CCGACUUACACCAGAUAACCCGGGCCCUCCCGAUUGUGGGCCCUCGUGCUGCCAGGUCUAUUAGUGUGACAUUGUGAUUAACAAUUAUAUAGAGGAGCUGCAAGCUUUGUUAGUGUUUUGUUCAGUGGCGGAAGAGGCCGCCUGCUGUAUUAGUGUUCUGUUCAGUGGUGGAAGGAACCACCUGCUGAAAAAAAAAGUGUCAGUGUAAGUAGCUCCAGCUGACAUAAGGAAAACAAAGUACUGCAAAUCUAUGUUCACGCUGUCCUGGCAAACUUUUAUUUAUUUAUUUAUUUAUUUAUUUUUAUUUUUUUACAGAAGUUAGCCCCAAAAAGACUGACGUAUAGCUGUUAACAAAUAACAUUUCCCUUCUAGUGUGUGUGUGUGUGUGUGUGUGUGUGUGUGUGUGUGUGUGUGUGUGUGUGUGUGUGUGUGUGUGUGUGUGUGUGUGUGUGUGUGUGUGUGUGUGUGUGUGUGUGUGUGUGAGUAAUCCACCUUGACGUUAGGUAUCAUCAUGAAGGAAGACACACGUGGUCUGCACAGCGAUAAAGCCUGCAAACGUCGCCAGACGUAAGGUAAGUUGAUUUCGUUCAGUGGACUAUAGAGAUGUUGCAUAUAUAUAUAAAUAUAUAUUAGUCUUUCAUGUAUGUUACUUACUUAUAUUUCUUUUGUUGCAAAACCGAGUUUCUUGUAUUUAAUUUGACCGAAAAGUUGUGAUUCAUGGGUGGGCUGGUUUCACUGCUGGUGGCACCUUACCUCCUCACAAAAGGGGCACCACGGCCCGCAGGGCUUCAGUUCCUCCACAGCAGCGCGGGGUGACAGGCCGCCGUCGUCAUUAUUGAACCUCCUACAUUCCACCACUUCUGCCUACCGCACUGGUUCGUUCGCUCAGCACUCCACACACAGCUCGUCACUCCACAAGUCGGCAUCAUGCAGCCAUUGACCCUCCUGCUGAUGGUGGCCGUGGCCCUCUCAGCGAUGGUGGUGGUGCAGGCCCAGCUCUUUCCUGACGGAGAACCUGAAGUCCCCCGUCCACAGCAAAGCACGCACUACCGCCCACACCACCAACCACGCAACUACCGACAACACCACCAGUUCUACCACCCUCGCUACUUCUCACUACUUAUCUCCGAAAAAAAGAAAAAAGUAACAGAGACGUGAAAAGACUGAAUAAGUUUGUAACACCUUCAGUAAUCUUGCCUUCACUACUUAUCUCCGAAAAAAAGAAAAAAGUAACAGAGACGUGAAAAGACUGAAUAAGUUUGUAACACCUUCAGUAAUCUUGCCUUCAAACCAGGACAGCACCAGUCCACCACAGGUACCACCAUCACUGCCACCUAGGCUAUUACUCCCGGGUCGCGCGUCUCAACAAAAAAAAAACAAGACAUAUGUUAUUUAUAAUUUUAAUUAACGUAGUGUUAAAAAUAAGGGAAAAAGAUGUUUCCCUAAAUAAACAAUGUCAUCAGAGUCCCAUGGAUGUCAGUGGGUGGCGCACACUUGUUCGCAUCGUACGGACGGCACGCAUCGUACUCAUCGGAUUGUUUUUGGGGUCAGCGCACAUUGGUCCGCAUCGUACGGACGGCACGCAUCGGACGGAUCGGAUUUUCUGCGCACAUUGUCGGCAUUGGACCAUUCACCACCCGCAGUUGUGAAGCUGAGCUCUCUCUGGAAGGACAUACUCCAUAUUUUUCUAGUGUAUAAAGUUGUGAAAAUGUUGAACAGUGAUAGUGAAGAGGAAGAAAUUGUAGUGGUUAGCUGUAUGCUGGCAGAAGAAGAAGAACAGAAAGUUAAAAAAAGGAAAACAUGGAUUCACAACAUAAACAGGAAAAGGCUGGAAUUUGGAGAAAAAUCUAAAAACAGUCAGUGAGUUAAUAUAACAUUAUAUAUUAUGUAUAAGUAAAGCAUAGCUAUGCAAACAGAAAAAAAUAAAAUAAAUACCGAAGAAGGUUUGCAUCCGACCGCGACGGCGCUCUGGCUGCAACUGACGAUGGGGUCGCACAUUUGCCGGCAAAUGCCGUAGAGGCCAUCCGCAUCGUUCGUACGCAUCGGAUUGAAUGCUCUUUCGGGGAUCCUCGUCGGCAUUGCCGAUGUCCGAUGCGUACGACGCGGUCAAAUGCGCGCAGACCCAUUUGAAAUAAUGUAAAGAAUACUAAAAUCCGAUGCGUACGAUGCGUGCCGUCCGUACGAUGCGAACAAGUGUGCGCCUACCUUAAGCAAUCGUGAUUAUCCUGAUGAUUAUCCGUCAUCCAUUGCUAGCAAAAGGAUGCUCAGGUAAAGAAGGGAAGGUUCUUGAGGGAGGAGGUGACAACAUGACCAAGAACAAGUCAGACUGAAGGAAAGGGAAAGCAGGCAAAGGGCUGAGCACGGUGGUCCAGAAGAUCCCAUAUAGAUGCAGUACAGGAGCACGGCGUCAGCACAUCAGCUGACAUGUAUGGAGACUAAAAUUACUCAUGACUCUUGACUUAAAAACAAAAUGAUUGAAUAAUAAAACAUCACCCUUCACUAACAUAAUACUCGAGUACGUCCUUAAAGAUAACUUUUGCUUCCAUCACCAGAGAUAAUGCGCUUGAUAAAAAAAUAAAAAAAAAGAUUAAUAAAUAAAUGUUAUAAACAUGACCUUUAAAA